rnacentral:rRNA from 1 species
AGUGAACGCUGGCGGUAGGCCUAACACAUGCGAGUCGAACGGCAGCACAGUAAGAGCUUGCUCUUACGGGUGGCGAGUGGCGGACGGGUGAGGAAUACAUCGGAAUCUACUUUUUCGCGGGGGAUAACGUAGGGAAACUUACGCUAAUACAGCAUACGACCUACGGGGGAAAGCAGGGGAUCUUCGGACCUUGCGCGAUUGAAUGAGCCGAUGUCGGAUUAGCUAGUUGGCGGGGUAAAGGCCCACCAAGGCGACGAUCCGUAGCUGGUCUGAGAGGAUGAUCAGCCACACUGGAACUGAGACACGGUCCAGACUCCUACGGGAGGCAGCAGUGGGGAAUAUUGGACAAUGGGCGCAAGCCUGAUCCAGCCAUACCGCGUGGGUGAAGAAGGCCUUCGGGUUGUAAAGCCCUUUUGUUGGGAAAGAAAAGCAGCAGGUUAAUACCCCGCUGUUCUGACGGUACCCAAAGAAUAAGCACCGGCUAACUUCGUG